CAUGGCUCAGAUUGAACGCUGGCGGCAGGCCUAACACAUGCAAGUCGAGCGGAAACGACACUAWYRAUYCUUCGGRUGAGUUAGAUGGGCGUCGAGCGGCGGACGGGUGAGUAAUGCCUAGGAAAUUGCCUUGAUGUGGGGGAUAACCAUUGGAAACGAUGGCUAAUACCGCAUAAUGCCUACGGGCCAAAGAGGGGGACCUUCGGGCCUCUCGCGUCAAGAUAUGCCUAGGUGGGAUUAGCUAGUUGGUGAGGUAAUGGCUCACCAAGGCGACGAUCCCUAGCUGGUCUGAGAGGAUGAUCAGCCACACUGGAACUGAGACACGGUCCAGACUCCUACGGGAGGCAGCAGUGGGGAAUAUUGCACAAUGGGCGAAAGCCUGAUGCAGCCAUGCCGCGUGUAUGAAGAAGGCCUUCGGGUUGUAAAGUACUUUCAGUUGUGAGGAAGGGGGUAACGUUAAUAGCGUUAUCUCUUGACGUUAGCAACAGAAGAAGCACCGGCUAACUCCGUGCCAGC
rnacentral:rRNA from 1 species